rnacentral:SRP_RNA from 1 species
GACCUGUAACGCGUAAGCGGCCGAGUUUGCGAGGAGCUCUUGCGUUACGCGGUCUUCCUCUGCUCCUGCGUGCAGACUUUGCGCCCGCAGAGAGCUCGGUGUCAGCAGGGCCCGUUGCCGCAGGGGAACGGAUCCGGGUGUUGAAUCGUCCCGCAAAGCGCCAGAGAGGAAACUCAGCAGCGAAGAGGGACAGCACCGAGUAGCUCGCGGAACACGUGAAUGAG